AUUUUGUGAAUGAUAACCCACUCAUAUGACUCACAAUGAUGACAUAGAAUAAAUACACUGUCCACAACAGUACUCCCUCUCUACUCUUUGUAUAAUUCUGUUGUGUUUACCUGUCUUUUCAGGUCUACCCUGUCCUGUCUGUCUCAAAGCCAGCUUUUCUAUGACCAUGGAGUUGGUUAAUGGAGCCUUUGUUACAUGCCAGCUGCUGGCAUCAGUCCAACAGACAUGACUGCAGGAGUGGACAGUAUUCAUAUCAUGUGAGUCAGGCCCACAUCUUGAUUCUGGAUCAUGCGUUUUACACUGCGACCCCGGAGGUAAGGGCUCAUCCCAAAAGCCUAACAAUUGAUUAAGACUAGAUCUACUGUGUAGGAAUACGGUUCAGAUCUCUGGAUAUCGGCAUGUGUAUAUUGCAUGUUUGUCAUGCCAGUUACAUCGCACUUAUUGGGAGUUGACUGAACAUACGGUAAAUGGACUAUAAUGUAGACUUGAC
rnacentral:lncRNA from 13 species